GGGGGUGUACAGGUUUCGACUUGGAAAUAAACUAUUAAGCGCAUGCGGAGGAUGUCGGUUGGCCUCCUUAAAAAGCCGGCAAAAACCCUAAUUGGCACAUCUAAUGAGCCAAGCAGCAAAAUUGUAGCUGUUGAUUUCGCUCCUGUAGCGGCACCAGCACUAGAAAUGGCUGCUUAGUGUUGUCUGAGGCUUAACCGCUUUAGAUGAUCCGAUAGCUUGAGAUUGGACCGAGGGUUUCAAACCUAUCGUUAUUUUACUUGGUGUGAGCCUUUCCCCGUCCGUUUCUAGGGGAAAAAGCUCGAGAUUAAAUGGAACGACUCGGCUCUUGUGGUGCAUUCAACAACGGAGUCGAUGGAAUUUUGGAUGCUAAGCAUGUAGUGGUUACUAGGGAGUUUACCGAGGACGAGAGUUCGAUUCUCUCCACCUCCA
rnacentral:tmRNA from 1 species